UAAGGACCCAAAACGACAUAUACUCUUCCUUUACGUUUCUCCCACAGCGGUAUCAGAGAGAAGCUUGCAGGAGGAUAAGAAGCGCAGAGAAGCAAUGGAGUUCGUCCCUUCGGGGACAUCCGAUAAAAUUGGAACGAUACAGAGAAGAUUAGCAUGGCCCCUGCGCAAGGAUGACACGCACAAAUCGAGAAAUGGUCCAAAUUUUUUUGCUGGCGUCGGCGCUGGUGCUCCGGUCAGUCUGUAUUUUUUUGCCGGCCGUCGGCGGCGCGUAAGCUAUUUUGGAGUCUUUCAGUCAGUUUUAUUUUCUGUUUCUUCUGGAUUCAAUUAGUAUAUUAUCAACAUUUGAUUUCCAUGGCUCCUCUCGUAAAAAAAACCUAGUUCAAUUAAUGUAUUGUGAUUCUGUUUUACUUCCUUGGUUUAGACUUAAUUUGCAUCUGUAGUUUUAUCAGUACAUUGUGAUUCUGUUUUACUUCCCCAAUUAAUUUGCAUCUGAAGUUUGAUCAGAAUCCCCAAAUUCAUGUUUUUUGCUAAUUAGGUUAAGCCGUUUGAUUGACUUACUAUUUUGUUGUAAUUGUUGGUUACAAUUACAGUAAUUUCAGUUUAGAUGGCUAAUACAGCUUCUAUCAGAACAAAUAACUCAGCCUUCACUGCUAUGAUUGCUGAUGAGGUGAUUCACUAUUUAACCUUUCACUAAUAACCAAUAUGCUUUUAUAUCUAUCUUUACAAAUUGAAUUUGUUACCUAAAAUGCGUGGAGGUCAGAAGGUUAGUAAGAGUAUUCUUGCACUUUGUUAUAUUGUCUUCUAUGGUUAUUAUUUUCUGUUGUUUCAUUUUGUUUGAAUCUUGUUGUUUUGCUGUCAUAUUUCUUGCUACCAUGCUUCGAGUCCUUUUCUUUUCUUGUCGAGCCAUGGGUCUAUUGAAAACAACUUCUCUACACUACAAAGUUUUAAGGUCUACAUCCUAACCUCCCCGGAACUCACUUGUGGGAUUACACCGGGUAUGUUGUUGUUGUUGAAUGGAUUCGUUGAUGUAAAUGAUGGUGUAUGAAACUGAUAGUGUUAUGAGAUUGAAUAUGUUCUUAAAUCUAAUUUCUGAUUCUAACAAACUCCAAAGUGGAAAUAAGUAGACAUCAAGUAUACUGGUUGUGUAAUGGACCCUUAUCGACAAGUCAAUUCUUUUUAUCUUAUUCCAAUUGCAGGGAAAUUGGAAUUUUAAAUUCAUGUUCUCUUUAGCUGAUUAGCGUGCUUAGGAACUGGUUAAUGUAGGAUACAAUCACAGGAAUUUUUUACUAGCAGGAGUUGGUAAUAUUGAUUCGAUGAGGGAAACUAACUAUCUUGUUGUCGAUUCAAGUAUGUUUUCAACUUAUUAUUGUGAUUUAAUAGCUGAAGAACUUAUGAAUGAAAGAAAAUCGAGGUUGCUUGUUUUAUCACUCUAAUUUUUUUAGAAAGAAUGUAAUGUAUAUAUAUAUAUUUCCGUUUCUUAUGGUUUAUAUGUAAUGGUGAAGCAGAUUGAAGAUGCUUUUAAAGAAUUCAUCUCAAGGGAGGACAUUGGGCAAUAUUGUUAAUCAGCCAAUAUGGCAGAAUCCGUACAAUCAUUUCAACUGCUGGUUUUAACUUUGACAUGGAGAAUGUCGAAUAAAUUAGCAUGUUAGUGCUUAUUGGAGUGGCAGAGAGAAUACUCGUUGGACAGUGAAAAAGGAUGCUGGUGUUGACGUCUCUAUCGAUGAAGUGAUACCAGUAACGAGGGAUGGAGCGAUUAGAAUAGGUGGUACGUGGCUACAUUUGCUGUAAGAAUGAGAAGAAGGAACAUAACGGUUGUAUCGACUUCAAUGACUUAUUGACAACAUGUUAGAUACCAACGACACAUUUACACUUGUUGUUUUUUGAUUUAGAGGGUGUCAAGGCUUGGUGUGCUGUUUUGGCUUGACCAUUUCUUCUGUGUUGGUUGAGCAAUUGGAGAAAGUGUAUACACUACGUACUAAUGGAGAUUGCGUUGACUUGGUGUAAACACCCAGCAAGAUUGGAAGUAGAAGUAGGCGAUCCCCCUAUGAUCGUUCUUCCAGAAGAAGACGAUACGAUCAUCCCUUCGUUUUGGGAUUACAAGCCACAAUGACUUCACACAGUGAUGAAAUUACAAUUAUUAACGUCAGUAGUCGUGAUUUAGUGGAAAGGGCAUUAAGGCAGCAGCAUGUACCAGGCUAUAUCAAUGGCGGAUCAUCACCAAAUUCUUCAGAUGAUUUUGAUGAUGAACUUCUGUUUGAUGAUCAAGAGAGUGAAUUGUAUGAUGAUCAAGAGGCUUCUACGAAGGAGAAAGAGGACGAUGCUAUAUUAUUGGGGUAUUUUAGAACAAGAAUUUUUCGUGCUGCUGAUGGUGUAAACAAUCCCACAGAAACUGAAGAAACUUGUGCCAUAUGUCAAGCGGAAUUUGAGCAUGAAGAGUCCAUUGGUACACUUGGGUGCGGACAUGAAUAUCAUACAGGUUGCAUCAAACAAUGGUUGCUGAGGAAGAAAGAGUGUCCCAUGUGUCGAGCUUCUGUUUUGCCCUUAAAGCAUAGCAUAUAGAGAUUGUUUUAUUAUUAUAAAAUUCCGUUGUAUUAUACUUAGUAAGACAAUUAGUUAUUCUCAAGUAGUGGAUGUAACGCACUAUAUAUUUUUUUAUAAAUACAAUAACAAUUUGUUUCCUAUCCUAAA